CCUCUGGAUGAUGAAGAGAUUGUGUCAUACAUCCUACCGGCCUUGACAUUGAUUACAAUUCUAUUGUGUCAGCUAUUAUUGCACGAGUGGAGCCCAUCACCGUGAGUGAUCGAACUAUACGCUCAGCUUCUAUGUUUUGAGA